UUAGGAAUUUUGCGCAAUGGGCUAACGCCUGACGCAGCAACGCCGCGUGGAGGAUGAAGGCCUUCGGGUUGUAAACUCCUUUUAGCAGGGAAGAAAAAAAUGACGGUAUCUGCAGAAAAAGCACCGGCUAACUCUGUGCCAGCAGCCGCGGUAAUACAGAGGGUGCAAGCGUUAUUCGGAAUCACUGGGCGUAAAGAGCUCGUAGGCUGUUUACUAAGUCGAAUGUGAAAUCCCCGGGCUCAAUCCGGGAAGUGCAUUCGAUACUGGUAGACUUGAGUGCAGGAGAGGAAAGCGGAAUUCCAGGUGUAGAGGUGAAAUUCGUAGAUAUCUGGAGGAACAACAGAAGCGAAGGCGGCUUUCUGGACUGUCACUGACGCUGAGGAGCGAAAGCGUGGGGAGCAAACAGG
rnacentral:rRNA from 1 species